ensembl:snRNA U6 U6 spliceosomal RNA
GUGCUUGCUUUGGCAGCAUAUAUAUUAAAAUUGAAACGAUUCAGAGAAGAUUAGCAUGGCCUCUGCCCAAGGAUGACAUGCAAAUUCAAGAAGCAUUCCAUAGUUUU